AAUAUGUCUACAGUAUGUUCGCAUUAUAUGAGCUCAUGCAUAAUGAGAGGAAUAAGGAACAAGGAAUUAAACAUACAGAAUUAGCAAGAAGAAAGAAGAGGAAUUAAUCAUUUCGCACAUCAAGAAGCUAUCGCGAGAAAUGAAGUGUAAUAUCUGUUAAAUACGCUGGGGUGCUUUGGGAAAUUAUGCUCAAAUAAUUAGUUAUCUGGGCGUAAUUCCUGAGAAAACCACGUUGUCCGUGAGUUCGUGUUCGCACGUCCACACCCUACACUUCCCACACAACACAUGGACACGAUUACGACAUAAAUCGGAUAUCCGAAACGGGUCCUAAGGACAUCCGAUAGACAUCCCGUGUACAUCCCAUGGACGUAAAAACGGUUGUCCUAUGUCUCGCCAAAAGACAUCCAAAGGACGUCCUUAGAAUGUCCUCACCGGACAUAAAAUGGUCAUCAUUUGGACAUAUAUAAUUUUGCUAAAAAAUGCACUGAAACAACUAAAAAUUAGCUUGAUUCAUAAAUAAAAUGUCGAGAUAUGUUAAGUUAAUAUAUAAGUUAACUUAACAUAUCUCGACAUUUUAUUUAUGAAUCAAGCCAAUUUUUAGUGCUUCAGUGCAUUUUUUAGCAAAAUUAUAUAUGUUAACAUUAGACAAUUUUGUAUACGUCGAUAGUCGAAGCUUUCUACGAUGAAGUUUUCAUCGGAUAAAUGUGAGAAAUUUGGACUAUAACUUUGAAACUCUGGUAAAAAUAUAGUAACGUCUUAAUUGUUUUUUUUCAUAUUCUAUUUCUGAGAUUAUAAAACAAUUAAUAUAAGAAAAAAUUAUUUAAGUUGUUUUUAAUUUUUUUCAAAUUAUAAUUUAUGUCUGGAGUAAAAUAAAAAAAAAACAUUACUGUUUUUACCAUAGUUCCGGAAUUAUGUAGUAAUUCAAAUUUCACAUCUAUCUGGUAAAAAUUUUAUCGUAGAAAGCAUUAGCUAGCUAUUGAUCAGUAAAAAAUAAUAAAGUAUUAAUAUAUUUCGACAUUUCAUUUAUAAAUCAACCCAAAUUUUUCGUGAAUUACUUUUGAUGAGAGGACAGUUGUUGGAGCACAAA